GACGAACGCUGGCGGCGUGCUUAACACAUGCAAGUCGAGCGGUAAGGCCCUUUCGGGGGUACACGAGCGGCGAACGGGUGAGUAACACGUGGGUGACCUGCCCUUAGCUCUGGGAUAAGCCUGGGAAACUGGGUCUAAUACCGGAUAUGACUCCAUGACGCAUGUUGUGGGGUGGAAAGCCUUGUGCGGCUAGGGAUGGGCCCGCGGCCUAUCAGCUUGUUGGUGGGGUGAUGGCCUACCAAGGCGACGACGGGUAGCCGGCCUGAGAGGGCGACCGGCCACACUGGGACUGAGACACGGCCCAGACUCCUACGGGAGGCAGCAGUGGGGAAUCUUGCGCAAUGGGCGAAAGCCUGACGCAGCGACGCCGCGUGAGGA
rnacentral:rRNA from 1 species